ACCUGGCUGGCUCAGUCAGUAGAGCAUGAAACUCUUGAUCUUGGGGUCAUGAGUUCAAGCCUCAUCUUGGGUG
rfam:Canis lupus familiaris chromosome 26, whole genome shotgun sequence.